UAUAUCAGAUGACGACCAAGCAACACCUUCCCACCAACAACUAGUAGGUACCAGUUUUCUUCUCUCCACAGGCCCCACAAACAAUGCAACUCCUCUUCAGACCAACUCUUUCAGAACCACGCAACCUGCGCUGAUUGAAGGCAUAAGAUGCUACACCGACGCCUCCACUUCUCCGGAUCAAGCCACUCACUCCUUCAGACCUGCUGGACUCGGCAUUUUCUUUCUCAUACCGCAGGAACAAGCAGCAAGAUCUAUCUUCAUGAAGGCAACAGUGGCCGAAUGUUCACUCUGUCUUCAUGGCAGAGGCAGCUGCUCUAGCUCUAGCUGCAACUAUUGCUCAGGCUCUUCACUUUCCCAAUGUUAACUUUCUAUCAGAUUCACAAUAAUUAGUACAACCUCUCAACUCCAGCAACCAGGAAAACCUUCUAGAUUGGAGAGCCAAGCCUUUUACUCAGAUCUACAGGAAUUCCCUUCCUCAAAUCAACGGCAAGAUCCUAAAAAUUCACAGGCUUACAUAUGGCCGCUGCAUCAGAGUAGUGUCCUAAAUGCCUUGGUCCUGAUACGAGCUAGUGUGGUACUCAACUGCCAACGCAUGCUGUGGAUUAGACUGCAAUUGGCAAGUGCACAUUCAUUUCUCCGUGCAAUAUAUUAAGCGAGGCAGGAAUGAACCAUUCGAAGCUCAGAUGCAUAACAGUUCAGUAGAAUUUCCUCAACUUCAGUGCUGAACCAUACCAAGAUGAUGCAAAGGCAGAAAAAAAAACUAUGAUACAAGUGUGUGUCUGAAACUAUGCAAUUUCAGUUCCCAAAAAUUCCUAUUUGCACAUUCUAUUGCAAAUUUCAGUACUGAUUUGCUGUGAUAAGCUAUCACAUGUAGGGAAAGUCAGAAAAGUAUGUGAGCAUUCGCGUUUGUUUUUGUCAAAUUACCAGAGUACAACAACUAAUGGGGGAGGGAAAAAACAUAUCAUAUGGUUUCUUGUCACAGAACAAUGUAUGAAAACAACCCAGUUGCGAGCAAAUCGUACACUGUUAAGUGAGAAGUCCAAAUAAGGAACCAAAGAUCUCGGGACAGAUCAAUUUUUGGCUUAUCUUUCUGAUGAUGGUGUCCUCAGUUCCACCUUGUCCUUUACUUAAAAAAAAAAUCAUCUUGUCCUGAUUUUGCUUAUGCUAGUCAACCAUGACUUGGUACAGCACCAAGUGGCAGAGCCAUGAAAUUAUUAGGGUUAAUUGGAUUUGUACCAUUACAAUUUUGCAAGUUCAUUGAUCUACCAUUACAAUUCACCUAUUUGGAGAUAUACCAUUACAAUUCGUUAUUUGCUUCGGAUGUGCCAUUUUGUACGUAUUUGAUUUUCUUGGACGCACGUGCAGGCUCUGGUAUAUCCGUAUGGACAAAAAUACCCACGCUCCAUCUCUUUCCUCCGUUCACUUGCUCAUGGGCCCCACAUGUCACCAGCUUCUUCCAUUUCCUCCCCAAUCCACUUCUUCUGUUGGAGCCUCACGCGUGCACCGCCGCCGUCAUGCUCCGUGCUCCGCACCAUUCGUGGUCACCGCCCGGCCUGACCCUGCGCGGGCAUCGCUGCUGCCGCUCUUCAAUCCUCGACUGGAUGAUGUCGCGGGCGUGGAGGCAGGCGAAGCCCGCGCCGUCGCCGACGCCGUCGAGCUACUGCGCGCACCCGCCGCCCAACCCUGCAUCCCGCUCCCAGUCCCCUCCCAAGCAGGAGCAGCACGGCCGCGAGCAGCGCAGACACCACGACAACCGCCAGAACCAUCCGUGGCCGCAAACUGUCCGGACCCAAAAGUCUCCUGCGUCACCUCGAUCUCCUCUUGCUCUGCUCCACCCGCCGAGCCGGAUUGCACUAUCCGCUCGCCUUGAUCUCCUCUUUCUCUCUCUUCCCCUUGGGCGCGCUGAUGCAGGCGAGGAGCCCCAGCAGCAUCCUCUUGCUCUCUGUCUUGUCCAUGGUGGCGGAGCGAUCGGAGCAGGUGGAUCUCGCCGUGUAGACGCGCUCCAACUUGCCAAGGCUCCAUAGAAAGUCAUGCACCUGCACCCGUUCCACGCCACCUCCAUGCCAAGAAUCUCGUUGUACUGCAGGCGCGGAAAACAGAGUAGGGGAAGAAGAUUAGCACGAGAGCAAGGUGAAGA